GGUCUCUUAGCUCAGUCGGUAGAGCGUUGGUCUAAUAAGCCAACGGUCAAGAGUUCGAAUCUCUUAGAGUCCACCA
rnacentral:tRNA from 1 species